rnacentral:rRNA from 1 species
CCCUUAGAUGUUCUGGGCCGCACGCGCGCUACACUGACGGAUUCAACGAGCUUACAACCUUGGCCGAAAGGUCUGGGUAAUCUCCAAAAUCCGUCGUGAUGGGGAUAGAUUAUUGCAAUUAUUAAUCUUCAACGAGGAAUGCCUAGUAAGCGCAAGUCAUCAGCUUGCGUUGAUUACGUCCCUGCCCUUUGUACACACCGCCCGUCGCUCCUACCGAUUGAAUGGUCUGGUGAAGCGUUUGGACUAUGGUUUUCUGAUGGUCCGCCGUUGGAUUACCGUGGGAAGUUCGUUAAACCUUAUCAUUUAGAGGAAGGAGAAGUCGUAACA